rnacentral:rRNA from 1 species
UACGUAGGGGGCAAGCGUUGUCCGGAAUUAUUGGGCGUAAAGGGCUCGUAGGCGGUUUGUCGCGUCGGGAGUGAAAUCCACUGGCUUAACUGGUGGCUUGCUUUCGAUACGGGCAGACUGGAGGUAUGCAGGGGAGAACGGAAUUCCUGGUGUAGCGGUGAAAUGCGCAGAUAUCAGGAGGAACACCGGUGGCGAAGGCGGGUCUCUGGGUAGUAACUGACGCUGAGGAACGAAAGUGUGGGGAGCGAACAGG